rnacentral:SRP_RNA from 1 species
ACCGGGUGCAAUGGCACGUGCCUGUAGUCCCAGCUACUCGGGAGGCUGAGGUGGGAGGAUCGCUUGAGCCCAGGAGUUCUUGGCUGUAGUGAGCUAUGCCAAUUGGGUGUCUGCACUAAGUUCAGCAUCAAUAUGGUGACCUCCCGGGAGCGGGGGACCACCAGGUUGCCUAAGGAGGGGUGAACCGACCCAGGUCGGAAACGGAGCAGGUCAAAACUCCCGUGCUGAUCAGUAGUGGGAUCGCACCUGUGAAUAGCCACUGCACUCCAGCCUGGGCAACAUAGCGAGACCCUGUCUCU